rnacentral:lncRNA from 1 species
CCGAGACCCGCCCGGCCGGGGAGGGGACCCGCGCCCUCCCCAGAAACCCCGCCAAGUUUGUUUUCCAUUUCGGAGAGCGCCAGGGGAGGGCCACGCACUGCCGGCCUGCGACGCGGCGCCCCGCCGGCCGGGAGCGCAGAGCACGGGCCGAGGCCUUUCGUCCGGGCCCAGGUUUCUUCUCAGCCCUUGGCACAAUCAGAAACCGCGGCGUUUGCUUUCGCUUCCUGUUUUUGCUGUUCAGCCCUGCUCCUGUCUUCUCUGCUGUUCCACGCUGAGCAGGACCCGCCCUGGGAAUGAGGGCUGGUUAUCGGCUUGCUGCCCACAGCGUGUGGAACACGGAGAUGUCUCAGGGCUGGG